CAGCAGCCGCGGUAAUUCGAAGGGUGCAAGCGUUAAUCGGAAUUACUGGGCGUAAAGCGUGCGUAGGCGGUGAGUUAAGUCUGCUGUGAAAUCCCCGGGCUCAACCUGGGAAUGGCAGUGGAUACUGGCUCGCUAGAGUGUGUCAGAGGAUGGUGGAAUUCCCGGUGUAGCGGUGAAAUGCGUAGAGAUCGGGAGGAACAUCAGUGGCGAAGGCGGCCAUCUGGGACAACACUGACGCUGAGGCACGAAAGCGUGGGGAGCAAACAGGAUUAGAUACCCGCGUAGUCCCUGUCUCUUAUAA
rnacentral:rRNA from 1 species